GGGGUUGUGGCUCAGUGGCAGAGCGCUUGCCUAGCAUGUAUGAAGCACUGGGUUCGAUUCUCAACAACACAU
rfam:Ictidomys tridecemlineatus contig099114, whole genome shotgun sequence.